UCUACCUUGCCAGGUCUCUCGGAGGACCCUUCUGUUGUGGGAUUGCUGAGGGUCGAAGAACAGCAGGUAACAGUCGCUACCACAACAGUGCACCGGUGGCAAUAUCGCACCAACCGAGACUCCCUGAUUCCCAUCCAUGAGUAGGUUCGUUGGCUGGAGAGCCAAGGAGUGAUCAGCAAGAAUCGCUCACCAUUUAAUAGUCCUAUAUGGCCAGUG